rnacentral:snRNA from 1 species
GUGCUCACUUCAUCAGCACAUAUACUAAAACUGGAACUAUACAGAGAAGAUAAGCAUGGCCCCUGUGCAGGGAUGGUACACAAAUUCAUGAAGCAUUCCAUAUUUUU